AACGUAGGUGGCAAGCGUUGUCCGGAAUUACUGGGUGUAAAGGGAGCGCAGGCGGAACGGCAAGUUGGAAGUGAAAUACAUGGGCUCAACCCAUGAACUGCUUUCAAAACUGUCGGUCUUGAGUGGUGCAGAGGUAGGCGGAAUUCCCGGUGUAGCGGUGGAAUGCGUAGAUAUCGGGAGGAACACCAGUGGCGAAGGCGGCCUGCUGGGCACUAACUGACGCUGAGGCUCGAAAGUAUGGGGAGCAAACAGG
rnacentral:rRNA from 1 species